rnacentral:rRNA from 1 species
GAUGAACGCUGGCGGCGUGCCUAAUACAUGCAAGUCGAGCGAACGGACGAGAAGCUUGCUUCUCUGAUGUUAGCGGCGGACGGGUGAGUAACACGUGGAUAACCUACCUAUAAGACUGGGAUAACUUCGGGAAACCGGAGCUAAUACCGGAUGAUAUUUUGAACCGCAUGGUUCAAAAGUGAAAGACGGUCUUGCUGUCACUUAUCGAUGGAUCCGCGCUGCAUUAGCUAGUUGGUAAGGUAACGGCUUACCAAGGCAACGAUGCAUAGCCGACCUGAGAGGGUGAUCGGCCACACUGGAACUGAGACACGGUCCAGACUCCUACGGGAGGCCGCAGUAGGGAAUCUUCCGCAAUGGGCGAAAGCCUGACGGAGCAACGCCGCGUGAGUGAUGAAGGUCUUCGGAUCGUAAAACUCUGUUAUUAGGGAAGAACAUAUGUGUAAGUAACUGUGCACAUCUUGACGGUACCUAAUCAGAAAGCCACGGCUAACUACGUG